rnacentral:sRNA from 1 species
CUGAUUUCUGGUCACAGGAGUAAUGCCCACUUUCCCACCCUUGCCUCCCCAUCCCCAUGAGCACAGUCAGGCCUGAAUGCAAAGCCUGAUGUUGCCACCGCUAAUGCUAUGACCUUGGGAACAUUACUCACAUUUCCUGAGCCUCAAGGCCUUGUUCUAUAACACGAGCAUAAUAAAAUGUCAGCGGUUGUUAUGAGAUUUAAAUAAGAUUAAGGAAGUGUUACGGUUGUGUUCAGCAUGUUGCCUGGCAGAUAACUAAAGAUUCAACAAAUGGUAGCUAAUCUUGUCAGUCCUGGCUUUUAAAAACAUCUUUCCCAGCCAUUUCUUAGGCCGUCUAGUUUCUUAUCAUAAAUACACAGCCAGUUGAGAAUUGAGUUACAUCUUAAGAGGAAAUUUGGGACAGUAAGUAAUCUUGCCAAUAGUGCUGGUCUGCCAUCUUAAAUUUGUGUCUCUUCCUCAAUGCCCUUAUCCUCCUAAAAAAAAAAAAAGAGAAUAUUUUUGCUCUGCCAUGUCUCCUAUUCAUCCUCCUUAGAGGGAUGGGGUAGAACAUAGUUUGGAGAUGAGACUGCCUCAUCUUUCUCUAGCUCCUCAUAGAGCUCAUGUCCUUGCUGUCAAGGAAGAUGGCGGGGAGUAGUACUUCCCUGGAGUGUAGAUGUGGUUGAAGCUGCACCCUGUCCCCUCUUCCAGGGCCCCCUGAUGUGCCACACUACUAAGAUGUACAGCACAGAUGAUGGAGUCCAGUUUCACGCCUUUGGCCGGGUGCUGAGUGGCACCAUUCAUGCUGGGCAGCCUGUGAAGGUACUGGGGGAGAACUACACCCUGGAGGAUGAGGAAGACUCCCAGAUAUGCACCGUGGGCCGCCUUUGGAUCUCUGUGGCCAGGUACCACAUCGAGGUGAACCGUGUUCCUGCUGGCAACUGGGUUCUGAUUGAAGGUGUUGAUCAACCAAUUGUGAAGACAGCAACCAUAACCGAACCCCGAGGCAAUGAGGAGGUAGAGUUUCUGAAGAGACCAACUGGGUUGGCUUAAGCUAGAUGGUCCCAGGGACACACGUGAGCACAAACAGGGGACUAAUCCAGAGUCAUUGCCAUGUCCUGGUUUCAGGCUUAGCCUUCUAGAUAUGACCCUGCUGGAUUCUCCCUGUACUCAGUUGAGAUGCGAGGAAUUAGGACGGGUGCCUUUUAUUCUUUUCCUCCUCUCUUUGUUCUGCCAGAAUACCUGGGAAGAAAUGGCCCUUCAGGUUACCCCCACUCAGCACCAGGCUCCUGGUUGGGGAAUACAUAGUCUGAUCCUAAGCAAGUCCUCUUCUCUUCUCAUACCUCUGCACUUUCUGUGCCUGCUCAUGCCAGUUGCCCUCAAUCCUUUGUGCUUUGGAUCUCAGGCUCAGAUUUUCCGGCCCUUGAAGUUCAAUACCACAUCUGUUAUCAAGAUUGCUGUGGAGCCAGUCAACCCCUCAGAGCUGCCCAAGAUGCUUGAUGGCCUGCGUAAGGUCAACAAGAGCUAUCCAUCCCUCACCACCAAGGUGGAGGAGUCUGGCGAGCAUGUGAUCCUGGGCACCGGGGAGCUCUACCUGGACUGUGUGAUGCAUGAUUUGCGGAAGAUGUACUCAGAGAUAGACAUCAAGGUAGCUGACCCAGUUGUCACGUUUUGUGAGACGGUGGUGGAAACAUCCUCCCUCAAGUGCUUUGCUGAAACGCCUAAUAAGAAGAACAAGAUCACCAUGAUUGCUGAGCCUCUUGAGAAGGGCCUGGCAGAGGACAUAGAGAAUGAAGUGGUCCAGAUUACGUGGAACAGGAAGAAGCUGGGAGAGUUCUUCCAGACCAAGUACGAUUGGGAUCUGCUGGCUGCCCGUUCCAUCUGGGCUUUUGGCCCUGAUGCGACCGGCCCCAACAUUCUGGUGGAUGAUACUCUGCCCUCCGAGGUGGACAAGGCUCUUCUUGGUUCAGUGAAGGACAGCAUCGUUCAAGGUUUCCAGUGGGGAACCAGGGAGGGCCCCCUCUGUGAUGAAUGUAAGUCCACCAGCACUCCCCCACCCCAGUCCUCGAGGGUCCUUGCAGCCAGGCAUAUGAGUGGGAUGGGCUCACCAUCUUUAGGACUCAGCAGGAGAAGCAGCUUGGGGUACACAGGACCAUCCCAAGUCCUGGGCCAGCUUCUUCCAUUUUCCUUCCUUAUCCUGGUGGUGUAGCCUGGAAAUUUAAGUCAUUUCUAAACUGUCAUUUGCUCCUCAUUUCUGAGAAGGGUUUGGCAUUGGACGUAUUUGAGAAGAGAUAUCAAGAGGAUGAUGAGAUUGGAGUGGUUUAUAGACCCUGAUUGGGCUUCAUGGACCAAAUGUACAAUUCUGGAAUUUAUUCUACAUCCACAAAAAUGUAAAUAUGUACAGAAGAAGGAAAUAAACUUCUAGGAAAGCUCUAAGUCUGAGCAUGGCCUGAAGCAAACACUAAGAACAUGUGCUUAACUUCUGACCUCUGCUAUGGGCCUUGCUUAUUCAGUUAGAACGCCCACCUCCCAUGUGAUUUCUGUACCAUGUCUUUCAUGACUGCAAGAUAGCUGCAGUGUUGCAGGAGACUGCUACUCCGCCGUGGCCCCAUGACAGGCCCAGAACCUCUCCCCAGUCACUCCCUCCACCUCCUUUACAGUGAUUCGGAAUGUCAAGUUUAAGAUCCUGGAUGCAGUGGUUGCCCAGGAGCCCCUGCACCGGGGCGGGGGCCAGAUCAUCCCCACAGCCAGGAGAGUCGUUUACUCUGCCUUCCUCAUGGCUACUCCUCGUCUGAUGGAGCCUUACUACUUUGUAGAGGUCCAGGCCCCUGCAGAUUGCGUCUCUGCAGUUUAUACCGUCCUGGCCAGGCGCAGGGGGCACGUGACUCAGGAUGCACCCAUCCCAGGCUCCCCUCUGUACACCAUCAAAGCUUUUAUCCCAGCCAUCGACUCUUUUGGCUUUGAGACUGAUCUCCGGACUCACACCCAGGGACAAGCCUUUUCUCUGUCUGUCUUCCACCACUGGCAGAUUGUGCCUGGUGAUCCUCUGGACAAGAGCAUUGUCAUCCGCCCCUUGGAGCCACAGCCAGCUCCUCACCUGGCCCGGGAAUUCAUGAUCAAAACCCGUCGUAGGAAGGGCCUCAGUGAAGAUGUGAGCAUCAGCAAAUUCUUCGAUGAUCCUAUGUUGCUGGAACUUGCCAAACAGGAUGUUGUGCUCAAUUACCCCAUGUGAGUGCAUGGACUCCUGGGAGCUCCUGCUCCCUACAGUGGGCUGCAACUCCUGUACUUGAAGCUGAGACCUCGUAUGACGUGGCCUUCGUGUUGUCAGAGGGUGUCUGGAAGCUGCUGUUGCCAUCUUGAACAACUCACCAACCUCCAACCCAGAGCCCCAGUGAGAGAGGAGCAUUUGGCCUCCUACUUCCUUCUGUGGCCUCUGCCGGGCUCCAUUCCCAAGGAGAAGAGAGGAGCUUGGGCUCACAGAAAGAGAAGGGGAUGAAACCCCAAGGGGCCCUAUCUUUGGGAUUUACAUGGAAUUUUAUUUUCUACAAGUUUGACCUUAGCCAUGGUUUGCAAGUGAACAGAACAUUCUGACCUCUGUCUUGCUCUGCUCCUUUCAUCCUCGUCUCCCCUGCCCGGUCUGGUGCUUACAUUCUGAAUAUAUGUCAUCUCCCAAGAGGCUUCACUGCCUCUGCUUCC